UUGCAGAUUGAGCGUUGCUACUACUUCCUCCAUGCGUGCGUGGAGACGGCACAGAGGAAGGAGCCGGUAGAUGGGCGCCUGGUCCAGUUUCUUCUCUCCAACCCGACCAAUGAUGGAGGACAAUGGGACAUGCUGGUCAAUCUCAUUGAGAAGUACGGCGUCAUUCCAAAGAAGUGCUUCCCAGAGUCCCACAGCUCAGAGGCCUCGCGCAGAAUGAACGACAUCCUCAACCAUAAGCUGAGGGAAUACUGUUUGAGACUGAGGAACAUGGUGGCCAGCGACGCUACGAAGACCGAACUGUCUGAGGCUAUCGACACCAUGAUAGAAGAGGUGA